UUGCUUUGAAACUUCAUUUUCCUUCUAUUGUCUUCUUCCCUCCAUUUCUCAUUCACACCAACUUAGCUAGCUUUAAUCAUUAACUAGCUUUAACAAAUCUUUCAACUAAAUCUAUCAUUACUACCCAAGAUUUCUUCUUUCUUUACCUAGAAUUGACCAGAGGGAAAAUAAGAAAUAUAACAAGUACCAUGGGCGGAGCUAGAGGGGAGCAAGGGGGUCCGAACAAUCUUUGACGAAAAUUUACACCGUAGAUACAAGGUCAAAAUUAUUUUUUAUGUAUAUACAUAUAUAUAUUAGAUGUUAAAUCUCCUAAACUUCUCCAUGUGUCGGCUACUUUAUAUUUUGAAUCUCCUUAGUAAAAACACUGGCUCGCUACUAAUAACAACCACAUCUCUCAUAUCCCAAUCCCCAUUUCCUUAACCGAUAGCAGUGCUAGUGAGAGGUAGCAAGUACCCUACAGAAUAGGGGAGUGUGCGCCAGCUGGCCCGAACACCAACGUCAUUAAAUAAAAAGGAAAAAAUAUCCUAAUCCCCAUCUCCAUCUAAAUCUUAAUGAAAGAAAACAUUUUUACUUCUUCUAUCUACUUUUGUUCCACUAGCAGAGUAAAGAAACAAUUUUUAUUGGAAUUUGCUGUAAAGAGCUGUUUAAAAGCAAUCAAGAUUAAACCCCAGAUAGGAAAUAAGCCUAAAUCUAACCAUUUCAUAUAUCUACAUAUAAAGAAAUGUGUGUACAAGUAUAUAGCAAGAUAAGUACCUCUGAUCUUGAUCUUCUUUCCCAUGAUUUGUCAUCUUGUAAAAGAAGCUCAAAUUUCAGCUCCUAAAAUGGCACUCAAAAUUAUUUAAAUACCCCCAGUAAAAGAAUCAAAGAACGCAGUCAAGUUAGAAAAAAGUUGAAAAGAAUGAUGAGAGUUGACAUAGUAAGACAAAUAAAGAUUUGAAAUUUUCUUCACCUUGACUUGAGUUUGAGAUCCUAAAAAGGGAAAGGGAAUACUAGUAGUUGAAUUCAUGGUGGACUUAUUCAGUUUAUGAGUUUCUGGGAAGGGGUAGCUUUGGAAAUGAAGAAAGCAAGUUGUAU
rnacentral:lncRNA from 1 species